UACGUAGGGUGCGAGCGUUGUCCGGAAUUAUUGGGCGUAAAGAGCUUGUAGGCGGUUUGUCGCGUCUGCUGUGAAAAUCCGGGGCUCAACCCCGGACUUGCAGUGGGUACGGGCAGACUAGAGUGUGGUAGGGGAGACUGGAAUUCCUGGUGUAGCGGUGAAAUGCGCAGAUAUCAGGAGGACACCGAUGGCGAAGGCAGGUCUCUGGGCCACUACUGACGCUGAGAAGCGAAAGCAUGGGGAGCGAACAGG
rnacentral:rRNA from 1 species